GUCAGAGGAGGAUGCCUAAAGGCACCGGGUGCGUCCCCAGCAGGACCGGGCAAGGGGUCCAGUUACUUUUGGGGCACAAAUCUCUUCAAUGGAAUCCAGCGCUUUGGAUCAGGAGCAGAUGUAAGGAUUGCCCAGGGAGACACAGGGGAAGGUCAAGAGGGCACCUUCGGAAGACGCUGAGCUCCUUGGAGCCCUCCCUCUUCAGUCUGAGAGAAUGGACCACAUCCAGACCAGGCUUUCUUCAGGAGAGGGAGAAAAAUGCAAGAGACGAGAAAGUAGGAGUCUCUGAGGGUGAUUCCCUCUUCCACCUGUGCCAGCCCUGAGACAGCAAGACCAACCCUUCCUGUCCGUCUUCCCCCAGACUACUCAACAUAGCGAAGAAAAGAAUGAAGACCUUCAUGAUGAUCCAUUUCCACUUAAUGAAUAGUAAAUCUGUCUUCUUCCUUAUGCUUUUCUUAAUGUUUUGUUUUCUCUAGUUUACUUUCCUGUAAGAAUACAGCGUAUAAUACCCAUAAUAAACAUAUAGGUGUUAAUCA
rnacentral:lncRNA from 13 species